AAUUUACAGUGCUAAAUUAGAGCAUAUGCUGUGAGGUGAAGAAAAAAAAAAAAAAAAACUGCUGAAGACUGGAGCAAGUACAGUAUCUGUCUGCCCCCUAGUGUAAGGCUUUCAUGUGCUGGAAACUCACAGCGCUCUGCAGAAAGAUGGGAUCUUAAAGGGAAACGACUUUUGGCUCCUUGCAAGAAAGAAACUUCUGUACAUAUUAAUCUGAUUAGCAUCUAAGGAUUUCCAAAUGAAUUGGCUUGAACCUAGCUGGGUAAAGUUUGUGCCUGUGCAUCAUGCAAGCCAGUGAUGAGUGGCUGGCUAUAGGGGGCUGAUGCAGAGUGCUGUCUCAUUGAUGGACCGUGUGUGCCUGAGCAGAGCAUUUCUAUUCAGCCUGCACUGAAGAAAACUCUCCCUGCUGCCUCCAGCAGUCUCUCCAGGAGGACACCUCGGACUAUGAUGUAAAACUUCCCAUUUCCUGAACUACGCAGAAUACUUGGUGGAUUAAUCGGUGGCCAAUUAGGAGAUAACUGGAGAUAAUAUCGUGACCCAGCUGAUAAUGGAGGAGGGGCCUAGAAAAUUGGACGCCUGGGCUUCCUUAACCCUUUGACGAACGACGUUACUGGAGCAGACACCCCCUACUUUAAUCUCCAUGAACAUUAAGACGACCAGCCAGGACACAAGAGACCUCUACAGUCAUCAGAAUGACAACAAAAACUGCGCAGGAGGUUGCUUUGGAAAUAGAAAAAAAGAAUGAAAAUACAGAGAUCCCCUACAAUGUUGACCAUUCCUUCUACUUGUCAUGGAGUAUAUACGCAACUGGACAUCGGUAACUAAAGAGGAUGAGUUUUUGUACUCAGAUUCCUUGAACUAAUGGAGCAGAGACCCCAGAGGUACAGAUAGCCAAAGAACAUAUUUAAAGAGUUACUUAUUGAAAUGAAUGGUCUGCAAAAAAAACGGAAUGGAUACGGAAAGAAAAUGCGUUUGUGUGCAUGAGCCCUAAGGCAGUUAAUAAAUGGGGAUAUUUGGACGAGAUACAUUUAUAUUAGUGGCACAACCCCUUUAAGCCAAGGAGAGCGGUUCAAUUUCUCCUAUCACAUACUGCCAUAGUCCUACGUGGAUUUGCAAUGCAGUUUUUGGCUACAUGUGCGCAUGAAAGACGCUCGGAGAAUAAUGGCUUAUCUCAUUAUCUUGACUGCAGAAUUGUAGAGGGGUAAUCUUGGUUUUCUGAAGAUUAAUCGAGUACUCAUGGGUCCCAUAUAGCAAUUUGAUAAGAGCCCAACAUGUUAGUAAAGGCUAGGAUGACUAACCUGGAAGUCUGGAGCCCGGCAUCGUCAUUAUACUUUGUAUUUAAGAACACACUGAGGGCAGUGAUGAAUAUCAUCCAUGAAGGUAUUCAUCACAACAUGAAGAUAAUGGAUGAAGUAGUGGAGAGAAGAAGCAACAUACUGGAUACAUACAGUUCAGCUUAGCACAGAAGGACGCAUAACAGGAAAGGAAAAAAAGGAAGAGGAAAAGGCAGUUAUGGAGAAAAAAAACUAAAGAGAUGGAGAAAACACCCCAAAAAUAUCAUGGAUGAUAUCAAGUCUCAUCAAAACUGUUGGUUACCAGCCAAUAGUCAUAAGAUCGUGUGACCCUCGUCAUGGACCACAUUGAGUGCAUAGAAUACAGCCUAUACCUUGCCUGAGGAAGAUCAAGGUCAACAGCCAUCCACAUAAAAGAAAAAUGAACAAGUGGAAACCUUGCAGGUCUUUACAAGAUUUAUACUUCCCAGAUUACUUUAACAGUACAUUGAAUGAGGAUUUGCUCAAACGGGGAAAAAAAAAGAACAGGUUUUCAAUGUUUUACCCUGUAUAACACCUUGUGCACAGUAGAAUGUAAAAAUAAGACUAGACCCCUGAAUAGGGGAAAGUGAAUCAUAUUACAGCAUUUGUAACACUGAAGUUAUAGUCUUCUUAUCAAAGGCUUUGAAAAUGUAUUUUUUUUUUUCAGCCCCUUAGCUUACUUUUUUAAAUUAAAAUAUCUUACUGAAGGUCACGGAAGCAUAUGGACUUGCUCAAUCACCAUAGAACAAAAGAUUUGUUUUUGUAACAUUUUGUAAUUCAGCAUUGUAGGCAACAUGCGUCCAUAUAAGCAAUCUGAUUUCCUUCUAAUUUUCUCAAACACCACUUUGAAAUUUAGAAAAAUCAAGUUAAUAUAAAAUGGGGUUAAAGUAAUGAAAUUUGUUAUGCACUAUUUACACAGUGCCAACGUACUCUAAUGUUCUAUACAAAUAUUGUUAUCACUCUCAUCAGUCCUUGUUCCUCAGCGGGCACAAUCACAUGCACACACUAAAUUAAUUAUUUUAUUUAAUUGAAACUUCAAUAUAUUAGUACAUACUGCAUUCAACCAGCACCCCAAAUAUUGUGUCAGUGAUGAGUUAUUUCCCAGGAAUAACUCAGUCAGUCCACCACAUGAAAUUUCAUCCUAGCCAGGCACUUUGGAUUAUGAGCUAUUUAGCAAUAUCUACGCAGUUUGUUCUCUGAAAAUUACAAAUUCGAGUCACAUUAUUAUGACCACCAGCUAAUAUCCAGAGAAACCGCCGUGUGCAGCACGGACACCAGCUAGACGGGUUAGGAGUGACUCAAUAAGGUCCUGGUAGGUUAUUACAGAUAUCUGGAGCCAUGUCGACUGCAGUGCAUCUCACAGCUGCUGGAGGGUGCGUCGGGGAGGAUCCAUAGAGGGAACAUGACGAUAGAAGUUGUUCCAUUGAUGGUCAUUUUUGUUCAAGUCUGGUGAAUUAGGGAGCCAGGGUAAUACUUUGAAGUUUUAGUCAUGGUUUUCCAACCAAUGUCGGUAAUUUCCAGACAUGUAACAUCUUACAUUGUCUUGCUGAAAGAUCUCAUCUGCCCCAGGGAAGAUAAUCAGCCUUUAUGAGUGUACGUGAUCUGCAAGGAUAGAUUCAUACCCAAAUCGGAUGAGAGUGCCUUCCACAUGGAUAAAGUGGCCCAGAGAAUUCCACAAAAACUUUCCUUACCUUAACGCACACACAUCUGGUAGCCCCAUGGUUCACUUUGGCAGUGAGAUGCUCCACUGUAGCGUGUGGGUCUGCCGUCAAGCACCUUCGUAGCUGAAGUCCACCUCUGACAUCUAUAUUUUAGAGGGGCUUCAUGAAUAGUGUCCUGGGUUUGAAUACAAUGUGAAGUCACAUGCAAAAAGGUCCUACUUUUACUGCAAUAGUAAAUUCUAGAUCAUAAGUAGUGAAUACGUCAAUAAACACAGUUGAGAGUGAUGUAUACAGACAACAGAAUGCAAGUAACAUAGUGAAAUAACGAUAAUGUACAAAAUUACUAAUUUUGUAGGCGGAUAGACCUGAUGUAGUCGUUUACAAGAAAUAUUCCCUAGAGCAGCCAGAUUUCCAUUACUGAACAAUCAUCAGUCAUCCAUUUUACCUACCUAUACAAAUGACUAUGUUUAUUCUAAGACUAAUCAAAUUGUAAGCUCUUGGACCCAGAAUUUUGCAAACAUCUGAAUAGAUUGUACAUGUGUUAUGUGUGUUGUAUGACGCUUGACAUGAAAUAUACUUAAGUCUUUUAAUUCUAUUCUGAGGUUGUGAGUGACAUGUCUGCGGCACUGUCAUCGCCAGCUCACCUUGCCCAGAUUUCAUAACUGCAGAAUAUACCUAAUAUGAUAACAGACAAGCUGAACUCCUAUGUGUGAAAAUCUUCAGGUUGUCAGGAUUCCCCUCCCUCACCUCCCUCACACAUUCUUAAUGCCUGUCUUGAUUGAAAGACUUCCCCUCACUUUUAUUUUGCUGCUUAAUUGAAUGGGAUCGCUAGGUUUACACAUGCAGCCAUAUAAAUUACACCGACAAUCAUGUUUUAUUUAUAGGCCAUUGUCAACAAACAUGAGAUACGUCCUGAAGAAUUAAACAUCCUUUACUUGGCGCCAUGAAGUAAAUUGCUUUCUUAGUAUGUAAACUGUACAGGCAAAAUGCAUUCUAUUAAAACAGCCUCAUAUCUCAUUUCUUCUGUUCUGUGCUGACAGUGUGCUUAGUGGUUCAUUGAAAAUUCUAGCCGAUAUCAGCAAUCUAACAGGGCUAUCUUGAAAUCACAUGGCUUGUACAAUUGUUGCUUAACUCAUUGGUAUUAGUUUUAGUAUUGCACAACUGUAAUUCAUCUUUAAAAGAAAUCUGUCACCAGAAAAUUCACUGUUAAACCAGGCACAAUGCCUUGUAGGGCCUUCUCAGCCGAAUGUAAUGAUACCUUUUACUUAGCAAUAUGUUGCUUCAUUCUGUAAGUAAUUUUAAUCCACAUGCACAUGAGCAGUUAGGGGAACUGAGGGUGGGCUACCAUGUGCACCUAUGCUCCUCCUGUUUCCUCCGCCAGCCCCUCUCUCUCCUUCUUGAUUAACAUGGCUAGGAUCCUGCAUAGUCAUCUCCCCAGGUCCUGCCAAUCAAGAAGGAGAGGGAGGGUGCCUCAUAUUGUUCCUCAGAUGGUUAUAGUGCACCAUACAGUAACAAUGCCAUCUUUUGUGCCCCACAAAGUAAGAAUGCUCACUGCUGUUCGCAUAAUGUAGUAUUUAUUCCCCCUAUGUGCCCUCUAGACAGUAAAAAUCACCCUUUUGUACCCCCUAAAAAGUAAUAAUGAAUCCUGUGAGUGCCCUAGUCAUAGUGACCCAAUUUCGGCCAUAGACAUAAUAAUGACCAAUUUACAGUAUGCCCCUUUGAAGGAAAUAAUGUCCCAUGAGUGGCCCUAAAAUAACAAUGCCCACUAAGUGCUCCCUAAAAAGUAAUAAUGCUUUUUGAAUGCCUGCUAAAAAUACCAAAUGUCCCUGAGGGUCCCUAUAAAGUAAUAAUGCCCCAUGUGCCUCCUUAUUAAGUAAUGAUGCUCCCAUGUUGCCAGGAUAAAUAAUAAUGCACCCUGUGCCCCUUGAAAAAAAUGGCAAUGCCCCUUGAGCCCUAUGAUUAAAUAAAAUUGUCCCUGAGUAAAUGCUUCUCCUUGUGACCCAUGGAAAAUCUUGCACUCACCUUAGCUCGACCCCCGAUGAGCACAAGAAGUUAUUUUUAGAGAUGAGCAAAUUUGUUGAAAUUUGUUUUGCGUCUGAUUCUAACAAUUUGGUUGAAAGAUUCAUUUCAGGCAUGAAAAAAUUUGACCAAAAUUGAAAGUGCUUAGAUUGCCCUAAUAGGUUGCAUAUGAUACUCUGGGGUCUUAUAGGACUGUAUGCAACUAAGUUUAAGCUUUUUAAUGCCAAGACAGCAUUAUUAAUAUUAAAGUGACAGCAACAUAUAUGGUUAAGGGUAAAAACAUGGUUGCCAGUUGUUGCCAACAGCUUGUUUGACCACCACACAUUUGUUAUGCUUUUUAAAAGUAAAAAAAGUAUAAAAAAUUAACCCUUUUUGGGGACGAUGCCUGCCAGUGUUUAUACACAUACAUUAGUGUUGGAAAAGCAGUGGCCUGUUCUGAUCAAGCGGUGCAAAAAAUUAUAUCUUAAUGGGAGGAAGCUGCCUGUCCUUGGUUAUACAUACAUCUAGUUUUGGAAAAAGGAAUGGCUUGUUCUGAACAAGCAGUCCAAAUACAAUCCCUUAAUGGGUUUAUAUACUAAUAUCAGCUAAAGCAAUGUCUUGUUUUUGACAAGUAGUCCAAAAAUUCUCCCUUUUUCAGGACAAGCAGCAGUAUGAAAUCUGACAAACAAGGAAGAAGAUGAUUGGCUUUUAAGGGGUACAAACUGCCCCUACCUUAAUAUAAAUGCUAAAGCCUGUCUGUUUAUAAAUUAAUUAAAUCUACCUAACUAAUUAUAUCUACCAAUCCCUAACACUGUCUGUGUAAGGCCUUAAACUUACAAUAUUAUAUGUCUAAAUUGCUGUGUCUGUGACAGAGACGGCCUGUGCCCUUUAACAUCAGUGGAAAAGCUGAGAAUGGUGUCUCUGCUUUGGACAUAAUAUAGUGCCUUUGACACAUCUAUAUUGUUUCUUCUUAUUGGCUGUAAGAAUGACUACAAGGCAUUAUGAAGAAGCCAGCUGACCAGGGCCUGGGGUACUGUGAUUUUCCCCUUCAUAUCCCCUGCCCUGCUGUACUCACUACUGUAAUAUGUAAAAUAGUGGAUGCCAUUUUGCACAAUUCUCCAAAAUCGAAUCGCCAAAACUUUUGGGAAAUGCUAAAUGAAUAAAAAUUGAUUUAGAAUAAAAAUGCUUACCUCUAAUUAUCUUUUAACAGCUAGUGUCAUAGCGGCGUGAUGCAGAGACGUCAUUGUGCCACCUAUCCCGGGAUGAUGAUGUACUGUAUGUUUUGGCAUCCUGUAGGCCGCAGACAGAGAAUGUUAGGGUAAGGAGUCUGUGGCUCCCAGCUCUACCACAGGCGUCAACCAUUUUAAUGUCCUGUGGAUGCUGUUACAGAUGAUUCUGGUGCACCCUACCAUGCCAGUGGGCUGCUGCCCCCCUGCAGCCACUAGCUAUAUGUCUGACUGUAUGUCAUUUUGACACAUUUUGAGUCUGUGUAGCUAUUAAGUGGAGCACAAAUUGCUAUAAAAUCACAGCCCCCAUCUGCUUCCUAAAAUAGUUGCAAAUGGCUUUGUGACUAUUUAAAAUAUCCUUUCCUCCUGUCUUACCUGCUAAACACUAUCAGAUGUCUGUCUACAUGAGACAUUAUACCAGCAACAAAUUAUAAUUUCUAGGUCGACACAUUAGUGAAUUGUCUGCACAUGCCUAACAUGCUUACACAGGCAAAUUGCUUUGAACAUUCGUUUUUGCCCUUAAUUGCAAUCUCUGUACAAUAUUGUUGAAAAUGUUAGUGUUGCAUUAGCAAAAGGAAAUAAAUUGUGCCAAGUUGAAGUCCAAUGCCAUUUUAGAGCCUCCAACAGGAACGCGUGGUGCAAGAGGUGCUGGUAGCCACUUACCCCUUUGUAUUAUAGAAGUAACAUUCAAUUCAUCCAAGUCUAUAUCUUAUAGUAGCCCAAUGUCAUCCACAAACUAUUAGCCAUUUACAUUUUUUAAACUCAUAUAUUAUGGAUACAGCUGCUUAAUACUACAAUUUGGUGUCAAAGAGCCUAGAAUCUGAUAGGUAGAUGACCACAGCUGUUAUCUUUUUAUUCUGAAUUUUAAAAUAAGUACCUUUACAACUUUUUUUUUUAAGCAAACCUUUGUAGUUGUUUCCCCAAAGACUGUAGACGAAUUAAGUCAAUGUCAUGUAUUGUAUACAUUUUCUUUUAAUGUGACUCUUUUAAGAAAUAUUCCUAGAUGUAGGACAUUAUGUACAAUGGUAUGAUAUUGCAGGAUACAACUUGUAAGUUGUAACAUAUUAUUUGGUGAUGUAGUUUGAUGGUUCAGCAAGGUUUUUUGUUUUUUUUCCAGGCCAUGAGAAAAUAAAUCUGACUUAUUGAAAUCUGGAAAUUAUGCUUGAAUUAAGUUCCAGUUCUUUCGUAGUUUUUGAAGACAAAUCAAUUGCAGAUGGUACAUUAUAUUUCCCGCCCUUUCUGUCAACUGCAUGCUGUAAUUAGUUAAAUGUUUUACAAUGUUAUUGUGCGUACUAUGGAACGUGAUUGUGGUUGCAUUAUGACCUAAGGCAAAUAUAAAAUAGACUCUCUUUAUGUGCAACAGGUUCACAGAUGAAAAUGUAUACCUGGAUAUUUCUUCACAGAAGACACAUCUUCUUCUCUGAAGCCACUUUCAAGGAUUCAUCCCAUCUCAACUAUUAUUGUUCAAAUGCACCUUAAAUAAAAAAUUAACCAACUUUGCAAAUAGUCUUGAUUAAAAGUGUCCUACCACUUUGUGUAUACAGCUAUUGUACAGACUUGUAUAUAUCCAUGACUGGAGAUAAACCUUGUGUAUGUAUAGUCUAAUUCUUCAUAUGCUAGUCAUGAAGAUUGUUCAUAAAGAUUCUUAUAACAACUUUCCUGUCAUAAGGUGGUGGUGAAAUGAUAAGACAUAAAGAGGGUCAUUUCCAAAGGCUUUACAACUGUUUUAUGGCAUAAAAAAGUUGCAAAUUUGGCCAAAUAGCAGUUUGAACAAAAAUUUAGCAACUUUUUGCCCGGGCUUAGCUGACGUUCGUUUCAGUUUCUGGCAUAUGGAACUCACAAAUGUGAGAAAUAUAGUAUGAUGCUUGUGCCUCUUAAUACAUUGGUUACAUCUUUUGCCAGCAGGAUUUUUACGCCAGUCUUUAGUAAAUGACACCCAAAAUGUGAGAGUUUUAAAGACAAAUGUUGUAAGGCAGGCAUGCUCAACCUGCGGCCCUCCAGCUGUUGCAAAACUACAACUCCCAGCAUGCCUGAACAGCCUACAGCUAUCAGCCUACAGCAGGGCAAUGUGGAAGUUGUAGUUUUACAACAGCUGAAAGGCCGCAGGUUGAGCAUGCCUGUUGUAAUGCAUUACUGAAAUGUGUGCUGAGGUACAUGGAUGGUUGAACCAAAUAUGGGUUUAUAUUAGUGUAUUAUGCUGAUCCUUGUACACUUUGGUGUUUGUACUUUCACUGUGCACUUUAUUAGGUAUAUGAAUAAAGAAGGGACUUUGUGUUAUGAUCUCAUAUACUGUUACCGUAGCAUUUUGUGUAU